UGGGUGUAUAGCUCAGUUGGUAGAGCAUUGGGCUUUUAACUUACUGGUCGCAGGUUCAAGUCUUGCCAUACCCAA
rnacentral:tRNA from 1 species